UACUAUCGGAUGGUUACUUCAUCUUUCUGUAAAAAUUGUGGGUGAGUUUAUACAUAUUGACUGUGAGGUUAUAAUUAAAGUCCGUGAUGGCAUUUCUUUCCAGAUAUCUGACAGAUUGUCACGAAGGCAGAAGAACAAUAUUACCUAUCACCCAAUUUCUAGACAGUUUGUCAGAGGGACUCUCUAAAAAGCUGUCCUAUUUCCUUGGAUCUGAUGAAUCUACAAGAAAGCACCGGAUUGGUUCUAAGUCUACUUCGCUAUGGAUUUUCUUUAAUUAGAAAACUGAUAUUAGUGAUUGUGUUAAGUGCCAGCUAGGAUUACAAGAAAGAAGAAAAGGACUGAUCGAAGGGUCUUAGAGCACAGUCUUGACCUUUUUGGGUCUGGGCUGCUAAGGGAUCUCCCGGACGUCAUUCCCAACUUUAGCCAUCGAUGGACCAAGAGCGAUAAAGCAAGUUAAAAACGUCAAUGUGAGUCUUCUUCUAUUUACCCCUGAAAUAACCUAGGAAAUAACCGCUAAACCAUAAACGUUAGGAAAGUGCUUCUAUGUCAAUUUCACUUAACACUUUCUAUAUAAUUUGAAACCUCUAUCAUAGUAUGUCACUCAGUCUGUACUAUGUAAGUAACAAUUCCUUCAUCGUUGUUGAUAAUUGGAGUGUGGAUAUCGUAAAUUAACAAUGCGUGGGUGGUAGCAGUUUAUGCUAUAAAUCCAAACUGUGCGUAUGCGGAUGACAAGGUGUAAAUGU